rnacentral:rRNA from 1 species
AUUGAACGCUGGCGGCAUGCUUUACACAUGCAAGUCGAACGGUAACAGGCCUUCGGGUGCUGACGAGUGGCGAACGGGUGAGUAAUGCAUCGGAACGUGCCCAGAGGUGGGGGAUAACGCAGCGAAAGCUGUGCUAAUACCGCAUGUGAUCUGAGGAUGAAAGCGGGGGACCAGGCAGCAAUGUUUGGCCUCGCGCCUUUGGAGCGGCCGAUGUCAGAUUAGGUAGUUGGUGGGGUAAAGGCCUACCAAGCCGACGAUCUGUAGCUGGUCUGAGAGGACGACCAGCCACACUGGGACUGAGACACGGCCCAGACUCCUACGGGAGGCAGCAGUGGGGAAUUUUGGACAAUGGGCGCAAGCCUGAUCCAGCAAUGGCGCGUGCGGGAAGAAGGCCUUCGGGUUGUAAACCGCUUUUGUACGGAACGAAAAGGCUCUGGCUAAUACCUGGGGCUGAUGACGGUACCGUAAGAAUAAGCACCGGCUAACUACGUG